UACAGAGGGGGCAAGCGUUAUUCGGAAUUAUUGGGCGUAAAGGGCGCGUAGGCGGCUUUGCAAGUGGCGGGUGAAAUCCCUCGGCUUAACCGAGGAACUGCCUGUCAAACUGCAUGGCUUGAGACCGGGAGAGGUGAGUGGAAUUCCCAGUGUAGCGGUGAAAUGCGUAGAUAUUGGGAGGAACACCAGUGGCGAAGGCGGCUCACUGGACCGGUACUGACGCUGAGGCGCGAAAGCGUGGGUAGCAAACGGG
rnacentral:rRNA from 1 species